rnacentral:sRNA from 1 species
ACAUAGCCCUGAUGGAAGCGGCAUCCUUUUUUGCGAGGCGAAACCGAACAAAAAAGAUACAGCGGACAGCGGGUGAGAUU